UAAGGUAGAGCAUGAUCAAAGACCCCUCUCAGUGUACAUGUGCACACACACGAACACCCGUAUACACACACAUGCACACACUCCCUACAUGCCAGCUCCCAACAGACACCAAUGAAAAUGUAUACAUCACCAAACACCCAAGACUCAUCACAUGUCAGAUCCCACCAAAAGAACACAGGAAGCACAAGAUACCAAUUUUUCAUGCUGGAUGUGGUGGCUCACGCCGUUAAUCCCAGCACUCAGGAGGCAGAGGCAGGAGGAUCUCCAUAAGUUCAAAGCCAGCCAGGGCAAGUGAAACCCUGUAUAAAAAGGGGGUGGUGGGGAGGAGCAAAGGCUUUGUUAUUCUGAUGAGUUCAUCUUCCAACUUAACUUUCCGUAUUUACUUUUAGGGACUGUUGAAGAAAAUAAGAUGAGACACUUCAAACACAGAUCCCAGAGCACCCUGUUAAAUUAAAAGAACAACAGAGAAGACACAGCAAAUCCUGUUGGAAACAUCCACCAUCCCCCAAUCUAUUUACCUUCCCCUGAGCUCCCACCCACCUACCCCUUCCAGUACAUUUGAUACUGGGGAUGCAACCCAAGGCUUCCUCCAUUUCAGGCAAACUCUCUACCAAUGAGCUACACCUCCAGCCCCGUUUAUUACAACAACAAAGUCAAAAACCAUUUCUCCACUGGAUGGCACAGUUUGCAGCAUGGGAGCUGGGGAUGCUGCUCAGCUGUAGGACACAAGGCUUUCUGGUUCCAUCCCUAGUACCACUAAACAAGCAUCAGACCAAAGCGUGUCGGUUGUACCACGUGGGUUGAUGUCUACAUGCAGGAGAGCGCAGGUGCAAGAUAAGGCAAGGCCUGUGAUUGGGCAGUGAGCAGGAAAGGGAGGUGCAGAGUUUUCGAGAGGCGAGAGAGACAGGAGAGGGAGGGAGAAGAACCAAGAUGGUGGACGAGAAGGACGACCCAGAUCUGUGUGGCUUUAAAUAGCCACAGACGCUACACCUGCCGAGUCUUACCGACGUGACUGCCCAAAUGUGAGAUCAACAUGGAGGACGCCAAAAGAUAAGCCAGAGAGAACACAUAAGAAUUUGGGGGCCUGAAAGCAGCCUUCCUGCCCACUGGGAGACCCGUGUGCUUGCAAAGAUGUGGGCUAAAGUUGAAGUGAGAGCGUUGAAAAUAAUGAGCUAAGUGAAGGUAAGAAGUAGCCGGCCGCGCACCACCCGAAGCCCACGCCUGCUUCCUCUCCCCUUGCAUCUGGAGUAAGGGGAACGGGGUUCGGGUUCGUAGGGAGGUCAGUGCGCAGGUCAGCUCAUUCCAUCAUAGGCACGGUCAACAGCAGAGAGCAGUAAGUGCAUGCUUGGUGCUUAGCUAGCCUUCAAAGUUCAUACAGUCCGGGACCCCAAACCAGGGAUUUUUACCUCCAGCUUUCUGUGUGUUUCUCAAAGCUUCGUCAUCGGAGUUCCCAAAUGAUGCUCCUAGAUGCACAUCUGUACUUCAAAGUCCCAGUAGCAAAGCCAAGUGCGCCGACCUGCUACACUACCUCUCCUCCAAAUGAGGUGACAAGUGGGAUUUCACUACUUUACGUUAAGAGAAGAGCUACUCUAGGGAAUUUCUUUUUAAGUUUACGGAGUCUUGUGAAAUAUGUUGUUUUGCUGGGAUGGCUAUGAAAUAUUGUUUUGUUUUUUAAAAUGAGAAAUGCGGGGUUGGGGAUUUAGCUCAGUGGUAGAGCGCUUGCCUAGCAAGCGCAAGGCCCUAGGUUCAGUCCCCAGCCCCGAAAAAAAAAAUGAGAAACGCAAGUACAACUUGCAAAAUUUUAAAUUGAAAACCUGAUGAACCUGAGUUGAAUCCCCUGGACUCACAUGUUAGAAGGAGAAAACUUAUCCCCACAAGUUGCCCUCUGAUCUGACCUCCACGUGCAUACUGUGGUGCACCACACACACACACACACACACACACACACACACACACACCAUUCAUAGUACAUUGGUAGCCCUUCCAGUGCCUUGUGGACUCUGCUUUAACAUCUGGCCAAGGGGGCAUAUCUUACCGUCAUUUCUGACUUUGGUGAUGCAGGGAGCCCAAAGGAGUGAAGAUGCCCUUGGCCUGGCUUAGCCCACUCAGCCAUCAUCUGCCAGCCCUCACAGCCAAGGACCCCAGAGUUUGCCAGCCCUCUUCAGCCACUAGGAGAUAAGCCAUUUUGUUACAUCCCUCCAGUUCAUGAAGAAAGUAGGACAGUGUCUUUGUGUUUUCUAAAUCCAAAGUAUCUUUUCAAAGAAAAGUGUACCAACAAGACUUAAAAUUGAGCUAUGUUCUGAUUAUAUCUAAGUCAAGCGGCAAAGGGGCGAGAGUGUCGGACGCACGGCGCUCAGGCAAUAAAGAAGGGAGAACUCACAGCAAAAGCCGUGUACAUGAGAAAAUGGCUAUGCGCUGAAGAGAUCAGCAAAGGUAUUAGCAACCUUCACAACUGAGGAGAGUGUAGAAAUGUUUAUUUAGUUUCUAGAAAAUUGCCUGUUUCCUCUUUGUAACAAUUUGAUUACAUCCAUAUGUCUUCCGCCCCGGCCCAGUCUGCCACCUUGAGGGGCCAGCUCCCUUUGUAGGUCCUUCCCAAAGCAGCCAUCUUAGACUGGCCUAGGGUUCUACCUCGUCUGUCCGCUGCUCUCCCUCCCACCCUCACCCUCAUCAGUACGCCAUGGACUUCCAGACAGCUAAUGACCCGCACUGCCUGCUCUAAUCCGCGAGCCUGUUAGAUGAAAGGAGUUUCUGUUCUUGUUGGGUUAAUGUUCUGGGAAGAGACUUUUAACAGACUCGUGGGUAAGGUAGGAAAAAAAAAACAUCAGACUGUGGUACAGAUUAAGAGGAUGUUGGGGGUAAAAAAAAAAAAAAUCUUCGUGUUCUCUUCUAGUUAGGAACCAACACACAAAAUGGGGAAGGAAAGAGGCUCAGACACAACAGACCUUUUGGGUUAGGGAGGGGUUUCUCAGAAUCACUGAUUAAAGUUGGCAGGCAGAAUAGUUUUCUAAGAUUGCUCUGUUUCUAUAGACAAAAGCAGGCACUGUUUCCCAGUGCCUCUGUGUCUGGAAGUUCUUGUCCUUCUUAUAUUAAAGGUUCAGGUUCUGUCAUGGUUUUCAGAUAGUAAAUGCCCCCUACAGGCCCUUGUGCUGAGAGCUUAGCUCCUAGCUGUUGGGGAUUGUUUUGGAAGCUUCUGGAAACUUUAGAAUAUAGUAUCUCCUAGCUGAAGGAAUAUGUCACAGUAUGGAUUUGAAAGUGAUACUUGGGGAGCUGAAGGGGUUUGCAACCCCAUAAGAACAACAAUACCAACCAACAAGGACUAAAUCACCAUCCAAAGAGUGCACAUGGACAGACCCAUGGCUCCAGCUUCAUGUGUAGCAGAGGAUGGCCUUGUUGGGCACCAAAGGGAGGAGAAGCCCUUGGUUCUACCAAGGCUGGAUCCCCCAGUGUAGGGGAACGUCAGGGUGGGGAGGCGAGAAGGGUUAAGUGGUUGGAUGGGGAAAAGGGGAUAACAUUUGAAAUGUAAAUAAAAAUAUAUCCAAUAAAAAAAAAAGAAAAAGAAAAUGAUACUUGAUCCCCAGUCCACAAAAAGAAUUAACAUAGGCCCAGCAGGGCAGUGGUAGCAGGUGCCUUUAACCCCAGCACUGUGGAGGUAGAGGCAAGUGGAUCUCUGUGAGUUUGAGGCCAGCCUGGUCUACAGAGUGAGAUCCAGGACAGCCAAGGAUACACAGUGAAACCUUGUCUUGAAGACAAAUAAAAAGCAACAAGAAGAAAAGAAGAAUUAACAUAGGCUCAAAAGUUGUAAAAAAAAAAAAAAAACAAAACCCUUUUUAUGUAACUCAAAUGUGAAAUUUAAGGGCAAUUUCUUCUUCAUCAUCUUCUUCAUCAUCACCAUCAUCACCAUAAGUCAGCAGCUCUGCGGUUGGGUAGGCAAGCCAGUCCCACCUCUGAUAGACUGAGAAAACAGAGAACACAGAGGCCAAGAGACCAAUGAAGAGCUUGGAGUAGGAGUUCUGCUACAACUGGCUGUGACAUUGCAAGGGAGAGCAGGGGGCACUGGGUCAUUAGUCUCAUCUGAGAAGUGGGAGUUGCUUUCCUAAAAUGCCUUUUAGCAAACAGACUCCCGCUCCCAACUAUGAACAGACUACCGCAGACAUUUCCAAACCUGUGGCUAUUGUGGAAACUUGAUCUGUGGCUUUAUGUUACAUUCUGGUCCAGUUCUUAGGGUUGCCAAGGUAACUGACCAGCACGGAGGCCAACAAUGGAACUUCCGGAGGAAAUAGGUGUCAUUCUCCAGCAAGCAGAUUUUCAAGAGUAGCUUUGACAGCCUCCUGGGGUGUUACACAUUGCAACUCAAUAACAGCUGUCUUUCACACUGAUAAACUAGGACAACAGCAAUUGACACUACAUUGCUCUGGGCAAAAAAGUAGCUUCUUUCUCUCUCUCUCUCUCUCUCUCUCUCUCUCUCUCUCUCUCUCUCUCUCUGUGUGUGUGUGUGUGUGUGUGUGUGUGUGUGUGUGUGUGUGCCUGCACACAGUGCAUGGAAAAAGGUUAUUUCCAUGCAAGCAAAGCAUGGGAAAAGGUUAUCUGGGAAUCUAUAGUCAGCCCCUUACACGAGCUGAAGUCCGUUUGCACUGAGGUGAUUAGGAAAGAGCAGUGUAGGGAAGCGUCCGGAUGUAUUUUCACGGAGUCCAGGAGAGGAAACAGAUUUCAUCAUACUCCUUUGGAAGGGGGAUCUGAAAGGAAGCAUUGUGCCCUGAGAACCCAAGACAGCAGACGCAGGACUGGAGGGAUUAGGACUUCCUGAAGGAAAGCUCCACUGAGACCAAGUACAAAGGCGACAAGUGUAUUCUGUGACCGCCACCAUCUUUUCAACCCGAGAAGUCUUUCUUCAAAACUGUAGUAUGUGGGCCAGCCUGGUCUAUUUACAGAGUGAAUUCCAGGACAGCGGCACCACACAGAGAAACCCUGUCUUGAAGAAAAAAACAAAAAAUGAAACAAACUAACAACAAAAGAAAAGAAAAAACUUCAAUCUGUAAUAAACUUCCACAUCCUCUUUCAGUUUCUGAGUGACACUCUCUCGGGAUCUCUCCGCCCUAAGUUCUUCAACAGUUUCUACAUUCAGAUUCCAAGGCUUGUGCUCAUACAUAAUGCAUAACAUUUUUAAAAAAUUUAGUAUUACUUACCAGUUUGGGUGUUUCGUCUGCAUGUUUGCCUGUUCACCAUUUACGUACCUGGUGCCCUAGGAGGCCGGAAGCGGGAGUUGGAUCACCUGGAACUGGAGUUAUGGCGGUUAUGAGGCUCCCUUCAUGGUGUGCUGGGAAGUCAAACCUGCAGCCUCUGUAUGAGCAGCAAGUGGUCUUAACAAGGAGCCAUCUCUCCAGCCCCUGUAAGGCAUAACAUGAUAACUUAUCACGCUAAACAGUAAUACAUGCAUGGAUCAUGCUAAGAGCUCGGACACGUCAUGAGCACCUUACUGGGUCGUGCUGCCAGAUCACGGAAGGCGGGGGCGAGCUGAGGGUUGCUCUGAAGAAUGCCUGAGAAGCAUUCUAGGAAAGAUCUGAGUUCAGGAAAAGGGGUUAAAGGUCCAUACUGAGCCCAGGGCAGCUUUUGCCCCAGGCUGCCACCUAUUCCUCCCUGAGAGAUUUUAUCAGUGCAAGAUAAUUUCUGUCUGUCAUAGUUUUUCUCCCUGAAGCCUUCCAAAACCUCCUGUUCCUUCUCAAUCCUCAGCCCCUGUUCAGAUUAAGGUGGCACCGCCUGGCCUUGAGUCUCCUGCAGGGAGACUGCAGAUACGUUUGUACAAUUUUCCUUUUCUUUGUCUAUUGUCAGUCUAGCCCAGUGUCCUGGCUGGUUUUAUGAUACAAGGUGGUCAUUGAGGAGGGAGCCUCAAUUGAGAAAAUGCCUCUAUAAGAUCACGUUGUAGCAAGCCUGUAGGGCCUUUUCUUAAUGAGUGAUCCAUGGGAGAGAACCCAGCCCAUUGGUGGGUGUUGCCACACCUGAGUUUUCAUCCUAAGUUUAUAAGUAGGCUGAGCAAGCCAUGAUAAGCAAGUCAGUAAGCAGCAGCCCUCCACGGCCUCUGCAUCAGCUCCUGCCUCCAUGUUCCUGCCCUGCUUGAGUCCCGGACCUCAUCACUUUUGACAAUGAACUGUUAUGUGGAACUGUGAGCAAAGUAAACCCUUUGCUCCCCGCGAU